UACAGAGGGUGCAAGCGUUGUUCGGAAUUAUUGGGCGUAAAGCGCACGUAGGCGGCUUUGUAAGUUAGAGGUGAAAGCCCGGGGCUCAACUCCGGAAUUGCCUUUAAGACUGCAUCGCUAGAAUUGUGGAGAGGUAAGUGGAAUUCCGAGUGUAGAGGUGAAAUUCGUAGAUAUUCGCAAGAACACCAGUGGCGAAGGCGGCUCACUGGCCCGAUACUGACGCUGAGGCACGAAAGCGUGGGGAGCAAACAGG
rnacentral:rRNA from 1 species